rnacentral:rRNA from 1 species
GACGAACGCUGGCGGCGCGCUUAACACAUGCAAGUCGAACGGCAGCGGGGGAGAAGCUUGCUUUUCCUGCCGGCGAGUGGCGAACGGGUGAGUAAUACAUCGGAACGUGCCCUGUAGUGGGGGAUAACUAGUCGAAAGGUUAGCUAAUACCGCAUACGACCUGAGGGUGAAAGUGGGGGACCGCAAGGCCUCAUGCUAUAGGAGCGGCCGAUGUCUGAUUAGCUAGUUGGUGGGGUAAAGGCCUACCAAGGCGACGAUCAGUAGCUGGUCUGAGAGGACGAUCAGCCACACUGGGACUGAGACACGGCCCAGACUCCUACGGGAGGCAGCAGUGGGGAAUUUUGGACAAUGGGCGAAAGCCUGAUCCAGCAAUGCCGCGUGUGUGAAGAAGGCCUUCGGGUUGUAAAGCACUUUUGUCCGGAAAGAAAUGGCUCUGGUUAAUACCUGGGGUCGAUGACGGUACCGGAAGAAUAAGGACCGGCUAACUACGUGCCAGCCGCCGCAGUAA